rnacentral:rRNA from 1 species
CCUACGGGGGGCAGCAGUGGGGAAUAUUGGACAUUGGGGGGAACCCUGAUCCAGCCAUGCCGCGUGUGUGAAGAAGGCCCUCGGGUUGUAAAGCACUUUCAGUGAGGAAGAACGCCUGGUGGUUAAUACCCAUCAGGAAAGACAUCACUCACAGAAGAAGCACCGGCUAACUCCGUGCCAGCAGCCGCGGUAAUACGGAGGGUGCGAGCGUUAAUCGGAAUUACUGGGCGUAAAGCGCGCGUAGGUGGCUUGAUAAGCCGGUUGUGAAAGCCCCGGGCUCAACCUGGGAACGGCAUCCGGAACUGUCAAGCUAGAGUGCAGGAGAGGAAGGUAGAAUUCCCGGUGUAGCGGUGAAAUGCGUAGAGAUCGGGAGGAAUACCAGUGGCGAAGGCGGCCUUCUGGACUGACACUGACACUGAGGUGCGAAAGCGUGGGUAGCAAACAGGAUUAGAUACCCGGGUAGUC